CAACUGGAGGAAGGUGGGGAUGACGUCAAAUCAUCAUGCCCCUUAUGACCUGGGCUACACACGUGCUACAAUGGACAGAACAAAGGGCAGCGAAACCGCGAGGUUAAGCCAAUCCCACAAAUCUGUUCUCAGUUCGGAUCGCAGUCUGCAACUCGACUGCGUGAAGCUGGAAUCGCUAGUAAUCGCGGAUCAGCAUGCCGCGGUGAAUACGUUCCCGGGCCUUGUACACACCGCCCGUCACACCACGAGAGUUUGUAACACCCGAAGUCGGUGAGGUAACCUUUUAGGAGCCAGCCGCCGAAGGUGGGACAGAUGAUUGGGGUGAAGUCGUA
rnacentral:rRNA from 1 species